ACGCGGCAGAGAUGGUAGUGGAAAUCCUUUUGCUUUUUUAGAUUUUACGCGUUGUUGAGAAUGAAAAUGUUCAGAAAAGCAAAAGAUUGCAACGAACAGCCCGGUGACAA
rnacentral:sRNA from 1 species